GUGCCAGCCGCCGCGGUAAUACGGAGGAGGCAAGCGUUAUCCGGAAUUAUUGGGCGUAAAGCGUCCGCAGGUGGCUCGCUCAAGUCUGCUGUCAAAGACCGGGGCUUAACUCCGGAAAGGCAGUGGAAACUGACAAGCUAGAGGGCUCUAGGGGUAGAGGGAAUUCCCGGUGUAGCGGUGAAAUGCGUAGAGAUCGGGAAGAACAUCGGUGGCGAAAGCGCUCUACUGGAGAGCAACUGACACUCAGGGACGAAAGCUAGGGGAGCGAAUGGGAUUAGAUACCCCAGUAGUCCUAGCCGUAAACGAUGGAUACUAGGCGUGGCUCGUAUCGACCCGAGCCGUGCCGUAGCUAACGCGUUAAGUAUCCCGCCUGGGGAGUACGCACGCAAGUGUGAAACUUAAAUGAAUUGACGGGG
rnacentral:rRNA from 1 species